GAUGAACGCUGGCGGCGUGCCUAAUACAUGCAAGUCGAACGCUUCACUUCGGUGAAGAGUGGCGAACGGGUGAGUAAUACAUAAGUAACCUGGCAUCUACAGGGGGAUAACUGAUGGAAACGUCAGCUAAGACCGCAUAGGUGUAGAGAUCGCAUGAACUCUAUAUGAAAAGUGCUACGGGACUGGUAGAUGAUGGACUUAUGGCGCAUUAGCUUGUUGGUAGGGUAACGGCCUACCAAGGCGACGAUGCGUAGCCGACCUGAGAGGGUGACCGGCCACAUGGGAACUGAGCCACGGCCAAGCUCCCUACGGGAGGCAGAAGUAGGGAAUUUUCGGCAAGGGGGAAACCCUGACCGAGCAACGCCGCGUGAAGGAAGAAGUAAUUCGUUAUGUAAACUUCUGUCAUAGAGGAAGAACGGUGGAUAUAGGGAAUGAUAUCCAAGUGACGGUACUCUAUAAGAAAGCCACGGCUAACUACGUG
rnacentral:rRNA from 1 species